rnacentral:rRNA from 1 species
CAGUCGCCGCGGUAAUACGGAGGGUGCAAGCGUUAUCCGGAUUCACUGGGUUUAAAGGGUGCGUAGGCGGGCAGGUAAGUCAGUGGUGAAAUCUUCGAGCUUAACUCGGAAACUGCCGUUGAUACUAUCUGUCUUGAAUAACGUUGAGGUGAGCGGAAUAUGUCAUGUAGCGGUGAAGUGCUUAGAUAUGACAUAGAACACCGAUUGCGAAGGCAGCUCACUAAACGCUCAUUGACGCUGAGGCACGAAAGCGUGGGGAUCAAACAGGAUUAGAUACCCGGGUAGUCCCUGUCUCUUAUUC